AUUGAACGCUGGCGGCAUGCCUUACACAUGCAAGUCGAACGGUAACAGGUUAAGCUGACGAGUGGCGAACGGGUGAGUAAUAUAUCGGAACGUGCCCAGUCGUGGGGGAUAACGUAGCGAAAGCUACGCUAAUACCGCAUACGAUCUAUGGAUGAAAGCGGGGGAUCGCAAGACCUCGCGCGAUUGGAGCGGCCGAUAUCAGAUUAGGUAGUUGGUGGGGUAAAAGCCCACCAAGCCGACGAUCUGUAGCUGGUCUGAGAGGACGACCAGCCACACUGGGACUGAGACACGGCCCAGACUCCUACGGGAGGCAGCAGUGGGGAAUUUUGGACAAUGGGCGCAAGCCUGAUCCAGCAAUGCCGCGUGCAGGAUGAAGGCC
rnacentral:rRNA from 1 species